rnacentral:lncRNA from 1 species
GUGGCCUGUUGAGGCAGGGGCUCACGCUGACCUCUCUCUGCGUGGGAGGGGCCGGUGUGAGGCAAGGGGUCAGUGUGGGAGGGGCCAGUGUGAGGCAAGGGGCUCACGCCCACCUCUCAGCGUGGGAGGGGCCGGUGUGAGGCAAGGGGUCACGCUGACCUCUCUCUGCGUGGGAGGGGCCAGUGUGAAGCAAGGGGCUCACACCGACCUCUGUCAGCGUGGGAGGGGCCAGUGUGAGGCAAGGGGCUCAUGCGGACCUCUCUCAGCGUGGGAGGGGCCGGUGUGAGGCAAGGGCUCACGCUGACCUCUCUCGGCAUGGGAGGGGCCGGUGUGAGGCAAGGGGUCAGCGUGGGAGGGGCCAGUGUGAGGCAAGGGGCUCAUGCGGACCUCUCUCAGCGUGGGAGGGGCCGGUGGGAGGCAAGGGCUCAUGCUGACCUCUCUCGGCGUGGGAGGGGCCGGUGUGAGGCAAGGGGCUCACGCUGACCUCUCUCUGCGUGGGAGGGGUCGGUGUGAGGCAGGGACUCACGCUUCUGGGCAGGGUGCCAGAGGCAUGAGUUGGGCAUCAACAGGCCACCGUGAGGGGGGAACUGGGCCGCACGCGGGCUGCCGGGAGGCAGCCUGCGUGCAGUCCUGCUCCUCCCUCACGGUGGCCUGUUGAGGCAGGGGCUCACGCUGACCUCUCUCCGCGUGGGAGGGGCCAGUGUGAGGCAAGGGGUCAGCGUGGGAGGGGCCCGUGUGAGGCAAGGGGUCAGCGUGGGAGGGGCCCGUGUGAGGCAAGGGGUCAGCAUGGGAGGGGCUGGUGUGAGGCAAGGGGUCAGCGUGGGAGGGGCCGGUGUGAGGCAAGGGGUCAGCGUGGGAGGGGCCGGUGUGAGGCAAGGGGUCAGCGUGGGAGGGGCCGGUGUGAGGCAAGGGGUCAGCAUGGGAGGGGCCGGUGUGAGGCAAGGGGUCAGCAUGGGAGGGGCCGGUGUGAGGCAAGGGGCUCACGCCGACCUCUCUCAGCGUGGGAGGGGCCGGUGUGAGGCAAGGGGCUCAUGCCGACCUUCCUCAGCGUGGGAGGGGUCGGUGUGAGGCAGGGACUCACGCCUCUGGGCAGGGUGCCAGAGGCAUGAGUUGGGCAUCAACAGGCCACCGUGAGGGAGGAGCUGGGCCGCACGCGGGCUGCUGGGAGCUGGGCAGGAGUUGAGCCAAAAGGGCUUGCUUACUUGCUGGGAGGCAGGGCCGGGAGACGCCGACUUCAGGACGACUUGGGCCUGCAGAGGUCACCGGGAGGCCCAAGCUGGGCGUGGAGGAGCCCACCGACCGGAGACCAUUUGGGGCCUGGAGACGCCAUCGGAGGGCAGGAGCUGAUCCUGGAGAGGCCACCGUGAGGCCUGACCUGGGCCUGGGGAGCUUGGCUUGAGGAAGCUGUGGGCCGACCAAGGCCGCCAGGAGAUGGGCAGGCGCUGAGUCCAAAGAGGUUGUUGGGAGGCAGCAGUCGGGCCUGGAGACGCAGCCGGGAGGAAGAGCUGGGCCCGGAGAGGACGCCGGGAGGCUGCAAG